UUUUAGGGCCACACUUGUGGGAUAUGAAGGUUCCUAGGCUAGGGGUCCAAUUGGAGCUAUAGCUGCUGGCCUGUGCCACAGCCACAGCAACACAGGAUCUAAGCCUCUUCUGCAGUCUACACCACAGCUCGCUCAUGGCAACACCAGAGCCUUAACCCAAUGAGCGAGGCCAGGGAUCGAACCUGUGUCGUUAUGGAUACUAGUCAGAUCUGUUUCUGCCGAGUUACAAUGAGAACUCCAAUUACCUUAUUCUUGUAAUUUAGUAAAUUUAGCUCAAAAAGAUCCACAAAUUUAGAAUAUGGUUUUGCCAGAAUCUUCACAGGCUGACCAGGCAUUGUAGUUCUGCUUUGAGCUAUGUUCAGAAAUUUGUUCUUAAGAUUUUGUGGUUUAUUUAAAUACUUUACCACCAAAGAGAUUCCCAGGAAAUUAAAUGCUUUCAGGUUGACCUUGUAAAGCUGUAAUCUCUCAUUUUGCAUGUCCAAUUAGUAGCAGAGCUUGUUUAGGGCACAAGCUGCCAUUUAAGGGCCUUGUGAAGUCCUACAUUCAUAUGUCCAGUUCAUUCAUAUGUCACAUCCACAGAAGACUGCUGGCCUUACUUUCAGUCUACUGAGGCAACGUAACUGUGUUCUGUUGCAUCAGUUUUCAGCAGUAGCUGUUCCCCUACUCAUUUCUCUCCUACACUCCUGAUGCUAGAAUUUCUGAUGUUUUAUUAACUUUAAUUCAUUUUUAACUCCCUUGUAUAAUAUAUUUCCCUCUACUAAAUAUUAUCCAUUUGAUAACCCCUCCUAUUCAGUCUAAAUAGGAAAAUGUUUAGAUAGACAUGUCUGAGAAAUUGACAUCUAUAAGUUCAUUUCCAGGAUGAUACAUGGUUCUGAACAGUAUUGAGUUGUAAUGUUGUCAACAUAAUUCAUCUAAAGAGGAUAAAUAAUUUAUUCUCAUGGGGAUAAUUUUGUUUAGGAGAGAUGACUUUCUUUGCCUGGGCCCAACUAAGAUAUAAGAAGGAGACUGGCAAUGCACUUGUUUUCUCUAAGUCUACAAAUCUUGGCAAAAUAAUUUUCCUUUAUCUUUUUAUACAUUUUAAAAAUAGAUAAUUUAGAAUAUCAAUGUGAGGUUGCCAUUUCUUAAUAGAAAAUGGGUGAAUGCAUACUCCUACAAUAGAAAAUAAAAUAAUAAUGCUUUAAAACGGGCAUUGGCAAAUUGCGGACAGUGGGUCAAAUUUGGCCUGCAGCCUCUUUCUGUAUGACCCAUGAGUAACCAUGGUUUUUACAUUUUUAAAGUUGUAAACACACACGUACAUACACACACACCAGAACCAAAUCCGACUAGGAACCAUGAGGUCGUGGGUUUGAUCCCCGGCCUCGUUCAGUGGGUUAAGGAUCUGGCAUGGCCAUGAGCUGUGGUAUAGCUUGCAGAUGCAGCUUGGAUCCUGCAUUGCUGCAGCUGUGGCAUAGGCUGACAGCUGCAGCUCCGAUUAGACCCCUAACCUGGGAACCUCUAUAUGCCUUGGGCCCAGCCCUAAAAAGUAAAUAAAUAAAUAAAAUAUUUUCUAUGGAAUAGGUAGAUAAAAUUUUAUAUGUAUUACCUCAGUGAAAUCUCAGAGGAAGCUUAAAUGUAUUGAGAAUUGAAGUAUCAUCCCCAUUUUGGGGAUAAGAAAACUGAGAUGUGAAAGGUUAAUAUCACAUACCUUCUAAGUGUCAGAGGUAAGACUUAUACUAAGGCAGUUGGGGAAUUAGAGAUUGUAUCUAUAACCAGUAUACUGUAGCGCUUCAGAAUCUGACCUGACAUCAUUUGUUUGCUUUGGGUGGGUGUGGGUGUGUGUGUGUGUAUGGGGGGGGAGUGUGUGUGUAUGUGUCUGAAUCCCCCUCUUGACAUCAAUCUACAGUUAGUCAAAAUAGGGUGGUGAUUAUGUGAUUGGCAGAAGGCAGAAUAUUGUUUAAACAUAAGACAGGAGUUCCCACUGUGGCACAAAGGGUUAAUGAUCCAGCAUUGCCACAGUUGUGGCAUAGGUUGCAGCUGUGGCUAGGAUUCAAUCCCUGGCCCUGGAAUUUCCAUAUACUGCAGGUGCAUCCCCCCAAACAAACAAACAAACAAACAAACAAAAAAAACAAGACAAAGUAUAUGAGUUUCUAGAAGCAUGUAAAGGGCAAAGCUACUGCACAGAAAUUGGCAAUACAGUGCAGUAAACACAGCAGCACUAUCAGUUGAAUGAGUAAGACGCUCUUGCUCUCAAAUCCCCAUAAAGUUGUCUGCCUACUAAUAAUACUACUUAAUUGGGGUGAUGACUCUUUAGGACACUAUCGUUGACAACCUCAUAGUGGUUUUAUAUGUAAUCCUGGUCCCUCUCAGCUGUUGUCUACAAAUUUAUGCUAUAUGCCUGUCUGCCCAACAUUUGAAAAUACUGUAAUUGGUAACACUUCCAAAGCAUCCUUCAGUGCUAUUGUGACUGGAUAGAUUAAAGGUAAAUUCUGCUUCCACUCCAUUGGCAGGUUUUAGGCUUCAGGUCUGCCUGAAGCAUAUUCCUGCAGUAGACAGUUUGCUCUUUUUUCUGAUAGCUUUUCUUCUCUUACUUGGUUUUUCUAUAUGUAAAUUCCAGGAGAGCUUUGAUUUGUUAUGAAAGAAUUCCUAUCUCUAUUGCAACUUUCUCCUGUGCAUUACUCUGGGCUCUGGCCCCCUCAAUUACAGUUUCUUUGUUGGUUUAAUUUUAUCGCCUUUGGUUUUGCAGGUAUCUGUUAAAAUCUUUAGCUUGUCAUUAUACAUUCAGCACCUUUAUAAAUUUAUUCCUUUUCUAGAUUUAUAGCAUUAUUUCAAGAGGACUUUUGGGAGGGAAAGAGAAGUAAACAUAUGUACCGGCUCCAUCAUUUUGAACUAGAACCUAUCAAAAUUUAUGUGGCAAGGAAAUGCAUUUGGGGAUAUACUGAUAGGUUUCCUUCCACUUGUUUUAUUGCAUUUCUUUGCCUUUAUUUUGGGAGCUUUCCCAUCAGCCCUGGAAUGAUGAAAAUAAGAGAAUCCAAGAAGCAAUUCUUCAUUUUAAGUUCAAAAAUCUAUGAUGGAACACAGAAAACUUUUGGGCAGAUAUAUUAGUUUCUUGUCCCUAGACUAGGAAAGACUCUGUGCAAUGGGAAAGGGAAGAGAAGAGGGACUACAUGGACUGACAUGAUGUCAAUCUCAAGAGAUGACCAAGCUCUGU
rnacentral:lncRNA from 1 species